AGAACGAACGCUAGCGGCAGGCCUCAAACAUGCAAGUCUAGGGGGGUGCAGCAAUGCAUCACCGGCGGACGGGUGCGUAACGCGUGGGAAUAUACCUAUUGGUUCGGAACAACUGCGGGAAACUGCAGCUAAUACCGAAUGUGCCCGAAAGGGGAAAGAUUCAUCGCCAAUGGAUUAGCCCGCGUAGGAUUAGCUAGUUGGUGGGGUAAAGGCUCACCAAGGCUCCGAUCCUUAGCUGUUCUGAGAGGAAGAUCAGCCACACUGGGACUGAGACACGGCCCAGACUCCUACGGGAGGCAGCAGUUGGGAAUCUUGGACAAUGGGGGAAACCCUGAUCCAGCCAUGCCGCGUGAGUGAUGAAGGCCUUCGGGUUGUAAACUCUUUCGACGGGGACGAUAAUGACGGUACCCGUAGAAGAGCUCCGGCUAACUCGCGCCAGCAGCCGC
rnacentral:rRNA from 1 species